GAUGCUUGCGCAUUGGCGCGCCACAGUACUGCAACGUUAUUCAGCUGAAGACUUCAAACUGUAAUCCGUCUACAAAGACAACCAAUCAUGUCUGACAAACCAAACCUUGAGGAGGUCACCAGCUUUGACAAAACCAAGCUGAAGAAGACUGAGACUCAGGAGAAAAACCCACUGCCAUCUAAAGAAACCAUUGAACAGGAGAAGCAGGCGGCCUCGUGAAAACUCAAGCUGCCAUCAUGCACUGUGCACACUCCCUUCCCUGCAUUGCCUUUUCAUUCACUUCUUUUAGCAGUAUAACUUUGUAACCAAAAUGUCAAAAAAGAAAAUAUGAAACGAAAAAAAAAAAAGAUAAUCUAAAGCUGCAUCACUGUCAGAUGGGAUGAGCCAAACCCCUCUAGCAACAUCUAGAUGCAUUCGGACCGCCUCCCUUGUCCAGUCCAGUGAUGAGAACAGAACACUUCUGAUUCCAGGAGCAUGAUGCAUGGAUUCAUCUGGUGGCCACUGGCUACGGUGGGCUGUUUUGCAUUGGUUUCGAUUGUUGCCAUAGGACAAGGGGGCGUGGCCUAGCGGAUAUCCCCAAAUUUUUAUCAUCCGGUUGAGGCGUGGCUUUUUGUUGACAAGUGACCAGCUCACAAAGUUAUGGCAUCUUUUUUUUUUUUUUUUUUUUUUUUUUUUCAAUUUUA